rfam:Vigna angularis cultivar Jingnong 6 scaffold647_4, whole genome shotgun sequence.
AGGUGCGAUCAUACCAGCACUAAUGCACCGGAUCCCAUCAGAACUCCGCAGCUAAGCGUGCUUGGGCGAGAGUAGUACUAGGAUGGGUGACCUCCUGGGAAGUCCUCGUGUUGCACCUC